UUUCCAAACUUUGGGUGAUGGAAGAAGCUCUUAUGAGGGAUUGGUGGCCAUUUUCCAAAAUACUUGGGGUGGUGGAAGAAGCUCUUUGGAGGCAAUGGAGGCCAUUUUCCAUACUUAGGGUGAUGGAAAAAGCUCUUUGGAGGCAAUUUUCCGAACUUGGGGUGAUGGAAAAAGCUCUUUGGAGGCAAUGGAGGGAGCGUUGGAAGAGGUGGACAUGGUGGUUUCUUGAAUGGAGGAAGAAUAACUGGUGGUUUGUAUAUUGGAACAACGGGUGGCUUUGGAAUUACUACUGGAGGCUUAUAUAUUGGAACAGGUGGUAGAACUGGGUGCUCAAUCUUUGGUGGACAUGGUUUCUUGAUCGGGACUGGUGGUGGAAGUGCCUUUGGAACCGGUGGAGGUUUGUAUACUGGAACAGGUGGUAAAACUGGAUGUUCAACCUUUGGUGGUGGACAUGGUUUCUUGACCGGAACCGGUGGUGGUUGUGGCUUUGGAACUGGAGGAGGUUUGUAUACUGGAGCAGGUGGUAGAACUGGAUGUUCAACCUUUGGUGGUGGACAUGGUUUCUUGACUGGAACAGGAGGAGGAAGAGGUUUAUGAUAUACAGGCGUAGGUGGAGGGAGAGGUUUAUGAUAAACAGGCACAGGUGGAGGAAGAGGUUUCUCAUACACAGGUGUAGGUGGAGGGAGAGGUUUAUGGUAAACAGGCACAGGCGGAGGAAGAGGUUUCUCGUAGACAGGUGUAGGUGGAGGAAGAGGUUUCUCAUAAACAGGUGUAGGAGGAGGGAUAGGUUUUUCAUAGAUAGGCACAGGUGGAGGACAAGGUUUCUUGUAGAUAGGAAUAUGAGGAAAGGGAGGUUUGUAAAUAGGAAUAUGAGAAAAUGGAGGUUUCUUGUAGAUAGGAACAGGAGGAAAAAGAGGGUGUUUAUGGAAAAUCUUUGGUGGAAAUGUUGGAAAAACUUUAGGGGGAAAUUGAGGUAAAUCAGGAUGAGGAAGCUUAGGAAAAAGAGGAUGUUUGAAGAGAGGCCAAAAGAAUUUGGAG
rnacentral:lncRNA from 1 species